rnacentral:tRNA from 1 species
CCGGCGGUGGUCAAACGGUUAUCAUGGCGCGGGGCUUUCAACCCUUCCGUCCCGGGUUCGAAAUCCUCUUCGACCGCCGGU